GUUUAGACUGGGACAACAGGACCAUAUUUGAGUACACUGUAACGCUCACGUUGAUGGAUGUGACGACGCGUGACUUGAGGCCGAUCACCAUCAAACUGGGAUCAAACUACGACUACUACAAUAAUUAUAUCAAUCAUACGCUUGAGUCCAUCAGUACUAAUGAGACAAGGUUUUCUGACGUCCGUGUCCAACACGUUAUUCUGAUGAGUGUUGUUCCUUCUUCGAUCCUGAUAGUACUCACAGCAACCGUUCUCAUAGUCUACAAACAUAGAGGGGGUUCUGUUAAAACCCGAAAUGAACCAACAUCAACUAG